GCAACAGCGAUAAGGGAACCUCGAGUGCCAGGUUACAAAUCUGGCUGUCGAGAUGCCUAAAAGGCAUUUCAUAGCAAGGGCCGGGCAAGACCGGUGCCAGCCGCCGCGGUAACACCGGCGGCUCGAGUGGUAACCGUUAUUAUUGGGUCUAAAGGGUCUGUAGCCGGCCGGAUAAGUCUCUUGAGAAAUCUGGCAGCUUAACUGUCAGGCUUUCAGGAGAUACUGUCUGGCUCGAGGCCGGGAGAGGUGAGAGGUACUUCAGGGGUAGGGGUGAAAUCUUGUAAUCCUUGAAGGACCACCAGUGGCGAAGGCGUCUCACCAGAACGGACCUGACGGCAAGGGACGAAAGCUAGGGGCACGAACCGGAUUAGAUACCCGGGUAGUCCUAGCCGUAAACGAUACUCGCUAGGUGUCGGCCACGGUGCGACCGUUGUCGGUGCCGUAGGGAAGCCGUGAAGCGAGC
rnacentral:rRNA from 1 species